rnacentral:rRNA from 1 species
GACGAACGCUGGCGGCGUGCUUAACACAUGCAAGUCGAACGGAAAGGCCCUGCUUUUGUGGGGUGCUCGAGUGGCGAACGGGUGAGUAACACGUGAGUAACCUGCCCUUGACUUUGGGAUAACUUCAGGAAACUGGGGCUAAUACCGGAUAGGAGCUCCUGCGGGAUGGUGGGGGUUGGAAAGUGUAGGCGGUUGGGGAUGGACUCGCGGGUUAUCAGCUUGUUGGUGGGGUAGUGGCUUACCAAGGCUUUGACGGGUAGCCGGCCUGAGAGGGUGAACGGCCACAUUGGGACUGAGAUACGGCCCAGACUCCUACGGGAGGCAGCGGUGGGGAAUAUUGCACAAUGGGCGGAAGCCUGAUGCAGCAACGCCGCGUGCGGGAUGACGGCCUUCGGGUUGUAAACCGCUUUCGCCUGUGACGAAGCGUGAGUGACGGUAAUGGGUAAAGAAGCACCGGCUAACUACGUG